GUGUCUCCACACAGUCUAUAUGUCGAUCAGCAUAAUGACGGAAACGAGACCAGAAUCCGCCGAGCAACAACACCACGAAGUGCUCCAGAGGCCGUCAGAUGAGCCGUGUAGUGGUUGCAAACAGUUACAGAAGGAUGUUGCAAAGGUAAUUUAGAGCUCAAAAAACCAUUAACAAUUAAAAAAUUUCCAGACAAUCAGCAUGGUUAUGGAGCGAAUGGACAAACUUCAGUAUCGGCUCGACGAGCUGCUCAAAGAGAACAAUGAGCUGAAAAGCUCAUCGGUCUCAUCGGGAAAAGCCUCACCAUCACCGGCAGAGUCGAGGAGCUCUCCGAAGCUUGUCGAGACAGUAGUCGCUCCAGUAUCAGGAGCCCGGAAGCGGAAGCCCAAGGAGCGGAGCCCACCGGCAGCUGCGAGUCCACUUCCAGACUUUUCGAAUUUGAUGAACGGAUUCAUGUUUGAUCCUCUGAAUAUGUCAAAUCCAAAUGGAAUGAUGCAAUUAUUAUCAAUGGUUCAACAGCAGCAGCAGCAGCAACAACACCACCAGCACAUUGAGAAUCAACAAUCCGUGAGCCCACCACAAUCGAAAUCCGUGAAAAUUGAAGAUCCAAUGGAUCAGGAUGUGAAACAGGAAGAGUCGGAGCGAUCCGAUAUCCCGACGGCUACAGAGGCGCAGAACCUUUUGGAUGCACUAACAGCACAGUUUAGCAGCAACGGACAGGCGGUAAGUGUUGAGGAAGGGCCAAAGGGGGGGGGGGGGGGGGGGCGAACAAAGGAAAGAUAUAUCACCCCGGGAGGCGGCGUUCGCUUUUGAAAAUCUACCGCUGCGCGAUUUUUUUGCACUUAGGAUUUCUAGGAUCCUGAUUGGAUUUAGGAUCUUUCGAGAACUUUGGGGAGAAGUUCCCGAAGCUCUAUGAUCGGAGUUCGCAGGGUUCCUUGAGGAGCCUACUUCUGGGGAAACCCUUGUGAAGGUCCGGAAGCUCCCAAAGUUGCUCAGGAUCAUUGCGCACCUUGACAAGCUUUAACUGCUGCCCUGACUUCCAGCGGACUUCCAGCGAGCCCUUGAAAGUCGCCAGGAUCCAUUGAAACCUCCCAGAGCUCCUUAGCUGCUUUAGGGUUUUUCAGGAUCUUUGAGGAGCUUCUAAGAUCCACCCUGAGUUCUUUAGGAUCUCUGCGAUCUUUCAGCAGCUCCUUCAAUCAAUCAAUAAAUACAUUCACUCCUAAUCACAUAUCAGUUCUUCCAGACCUCCACCACAUCUCCACCAUCAUCAUCAUCCCAAGUACAAGCGGUCAUCGAAGCAGUCGCCACACCAUCAUCCCAAAGCCAAGACAGUUCAAUGUUUGAGAAAACCGAGACGAGUGGUGAUCCGAACGCGGCGCGAUGCUCCAACUGCCGAACCGACAAGACAACCGCGUGGCGACGUGACGCCGAGGGGAAGCUUGUCUGCAAUCCGUGUGGGCUCUACUAUCGAUUGCACAAG
rnacentral:sRNA from 1 species